rnacentral:siRNA from 1 species
GUAUUUAGGUGUGUUUUGUUCA